GCGUUGGUGGUCUAACGGUAUGACAGCUGCCUUCCAAGCAGCUAGCCCGGGUUCGACUCCCGGCCGACGCA
rnacentral:tRNA from 1 species